rnacentral:rRNA from 1 species
GACAGAGGGGGCAAGCGUUGUCCGGAGUUACUGGGCGUAAAGGGCGCGCAGGCGGUGGGCUGCGUCGGCGCUGAAAGCGCCCCGCUUAACGGGGCGAGGCGCGCCGAUACGAGUCCACUCGAGGCAAGCAGAGGGUGGCGGAAUUCCGGGUGGAGCGGUGAAAUGCGUAGAGAUCCGGAGGAACGCCGGUGGGGAAGCCGGCCACCUGGGCUUGACCUGACGCUGCGGCGCGACAGCGUGGGGAGCAAACCGG